GUGCCAGCAGCCGCGGUAAUACGGAGGGAGCUAGCGUUGUUCGGAAUUACUGGGCGUAAAGCGCACGUAGGCGGCUUUGUAAGUUAGGGGUGAAAGCCCGGAGCUCAACUCCGGAAUUGCCUUUAAGACUGCAUCGCUUGAAUCCGGGAGAGGUGAGUGGAAUUCCGAGUGUAGAGGUGAAAUUCGUAGAUAUUCGGAAGAACACCAGUGGCGAAGGCGGCUCACUGGACCGGUAUUGACGCUGAGGUGCGAAAGCGUGGGGAGCAAACAGGAUUAGAUACCCUCGUAGUCC
rnacentral:rRNA from 1 species